rnacentral:rRNA from 1 species
UGUUUGAUCAUGGCUCAGAUUGACACGCUGGCUUGGCAGGCCUAACACAUGCAAGUCGAGCGGCAGCACAAGUAAGUUUACUUAUGAGCGUGGCGAGCGGCGGACGGGUGAGUAAUGCCUAGGGAUCUGCCCAGAUCGAGGGGGAUAACAGUUGGAAACGACUGCUAAUACCGCAUACGCCCUACGGGGGAAAGAGGGGGACCUUCGGGCCUCUCGCGAUUGGAUGAACCUAGGUGGGAUUAGCUAGUUGGUGAGGUAAUGGCUCACCAAGGCGACGAUCCCUAGCUGUUCUGACGAGGAUGAUCAGCCACUCUGGGACUGAGACACGGCCAGGACUCCUACGGGAAGCAGCAGUGGCGGAAUAUUGCCACAAUGGGGGAAACCCUGAUGCAGCUCAUGCCGCAGUGUGUGACAGAANGCCUUCGAGGUUUGUACAGCACUUUCANUAAGGGAGGAAAGGGUGACGUCUUAAUUACGGCUCAUCUGUGACGUUACCUACAGGAAGAAGGACCGG